AUUGAACGCUGGCGGCAGGCCUAACACAUGCAAGUCGAGCGGAUGAAGGGAGCUUGCUCCUGGAUUCAGCGGCGGACGGGUGAGUAAUGCCUAGGAAUCUGCCUGGUAGUGGGGGAUAACGUCCGGAAACGGGCGCUAAUACCGCAUACGUCCUGAGGGAGAAAGUGGGGGAUCUUCGGACCUCACGCUCUCAGAUGCGCCUCGGUCGGAUUAGCUAGUUGGUGGGGUAAAGGCCUACCAAGGCGACGAUCCGUAACUGGUCUGAGAGGAUGAUCAGUCACACUGGAACUGAGACACGGUCCAGACUCCUACGGGAGGCAGCAGUGGGGAAUAUUGGACAAUGGGCGAAAGCCUGAUCCAGCCAUGCCGCGUGUGUGAAGAAGGUCUUCGGAUUGUAAAGCACUUUAAGUUGGGAGGAAGGGCAGUAAGUUAAUACCUUGCUGUUUUGACGUUACCAACAGAAUAAGCACCGGCUAACUUCGUG
rnacentral:rRNA from 1 species